GCGAGUUCCUGCGGGAAGGACCCUGCCUGCCCCAGCCUUCCGCUCGCCACCGCGGGGCGUCCCUGCAGCGCCCACCGGGCUCUGGAAGCGCGCAGCCAGCCGCCCGCAGCCUCCGUCCCUGCAGCCGUCAGGAAGGCCUUUGUCGUCGUCAUCAUCAUUAUCAUCAUCAGAAAAGGAUUGCAGCUCACUUUGCUGCAAGACAGAAAUACAUCAGAGGAAGAGAGAAAGCCCGAGGCUGGGGGCUCCAGCAGAACCGUGAAAAUGGGCACAAGGUCAGAGACAGCACAUGUGUUCAUGCUGGCAUUGGACUUUAUGAGGGUGGCAGAAAUACCCUUCUGUUGUGUUAAGCCAAUAGGAAUUAAGGGUUUGCCAGGUUUUAAAUCAGGUAAUUAAUAUACAUUGUCUACCAAGCCUCCAAGAGGCUCACUGAAAGCUCAGUAAAUUAAAUUCCUUAAUUUUGAUGUGACAAGCA